CAGUAGCCGCGGGAAUACGAAGGGUGCAAACGUUGCUCGGAAUUAUUGGGCGUAAAGCGCACGUAGGCGGCUCCGCAAGUCGGAUGUGAAAUCCCUCGGCUUAACCAAGGAAGUGCAUCCGAAACUGCAGAGCUUGAGUGCAGAAGAGGAGAGUGGAAUUCCACGUGUAGCGGUGAAAUGCGUAGAGAUGUGGAGGAACACCAGUGGCGAAGGCGACUCUCUGGUCUGUAACUGACGCUGAGGAGCGAAAGCGUGGGGAGCGAACAGGAUUAGAUACCCCAGUAGUCCCUGUCUCUUAUAC
rnacentral:rRNA from 1 species